UCCGGAGGGUGCAAGCGUUAUCCGGAUUUACUGGGUUUAAAGGGUGCGUAGGUGGAUUGGUGAGUCAGUGGUGAAAUACUUUCGCUUAACGAAGGAACUGCCAUUGAUACUACCAGUCUUGAAUACAGUGGAGGUGGGCGGAAUGCGUCAUGUAGCGGUGAAAUGCUUAGAUAUGACGCAGAACACCAAUUGCGAAGGCAGCUUGCUACACUGUUAUUGACACUGAGGCACGAAAGCGUGGGGAUCAAACAGG
rnacentral:rRNA from 1 species